rnacentral:rRNA from 1 species
GAUGAACGCUAGCGGCAGGCCUAAUACAUGCAAGUCAAGGGGAUAGCAAUAUCACCGGCGGACGGGUGCGUAACGCGUACACAACGUGCCCAAGGGCGGAGGAAAGCGGCGGGAAACUGCCGGUAAUACUCCAUGGUGUUGUUGAGUGGCAUCACUUAACAACUAAAGUACAAGCGCCCUUGGAUCGGUGUGCGUUCGAUUAGCUAGUUGGCGGGGUAACGGCCCACCAAGGCUUCGAUCGAUAGGGGGUGUGAGAGCAUGACCCCCCACACGGGUACUGAGACACGGACCCGACUCCUACGGGAGGCAGCAGUAAGGAAUAUUGGACAAUGGGCGGGAAGCCUGAUCCAGCCAUGCCGCGUGAAGGACGAAGGCGCUCAGCGUUGUAAACUUCUUUUGGAUGGGAACAAUAACUCCGACUUGUCGGAACUUGAGGGUACCAUCAGAAUAAGCACCGGCUAACUCCGUGCCAGCAGCCGCGGUAAAGUCGUACG